GCUAAGAUCUUGAUGCUUGCAUGAGUCUCCACCAUCGUCACCUCGAUGUCCGCCGCCUUCCCAGAGUAUUGAGGAAAGCUCAACAAAUUACGAAAUACUUUGUCACUGCUGCUGCCCAUGUCUUGUCGAUCCAUCAACUUUACCCUUUGAGCGUAGGAAGGAGGCAUCAAGGAGCGGAGGACGGCGAGGUAGUCGUUCAUCUGGCGGCGGCGAUUCCUCUCGACGGCGAUAUGAGUCAUCCUCUGGGUCUCCAGCUCCUCCUUGUUCUUCAAGGUCUUGCUCCGGCGCCUCUUGCGGCGGGCCUCCGCUGAAGAAGUGGCGUUGAGAGGCGGAGAUGACUCCCAAUAUCCAAUUGCACUACUCUGUUCCACAUUAAACUUCUCUUCAACGCCCAAUUCCGUACAGUAGUUGUAAUCUAUGCAGCCAUAGAUGAGUGGAUCUUGCUGGUAAAUCACACCUUCCAGAGCCAUUCUCUCUCUCUCUCUCUCUCAACAACAAGAGGAGUUGUAAAAAUGGGUGUAGGGAGAGAAAUGUAAGUAGACGUAGAGGCAGGGCAUAGGAGAAAAGGGUGGAGUCACAGCUAUUUAAAGGGCUACAAAGAAUCAAACAUUCAAAAACAAAGGCCAACUUGGAUCCAACCACAUAUCUACUACAGAAACUCACACGUGAGACUGUGUUUUCUUUGCCUCCCCUACCAACAUAUAUGAAUUGAGAGAGAGAGAGUUGUCGUGCAUUUUCAUGUUUUAUUGUAAUGUAAUUUAUUAAAAUUUUCAUUUUGUAAUUUUAUUGGAUUAUUAGUACCCACCAUAUACAGAAGAAUGCUUACAACUAUGCCCUACCUGACAUGAGUUUGUGGUAAAAGGGUUGGUUGCCUGGGUCAUAUUGGAAACUUUUACUUGUUUUUCAUGAAUGGAUUUUUUU